GGGACAGCAGCCAGUCUGCUGACUUCUGGUAGUCUUCAUAACUGAGGAGGAGAUGAGGAGAGGGGACAGGAAGGAUGAAAGACCUUAUUUUUGACAGGACAGUAUGAGAGAGUGACAGGAAAUGUUUGGGAGAGACGGGGAAGGGUCAGCAAAGGACCCGGACUGGAAUCGAACCCAGGUCGGCCGCAUAGUAGACGAGUGCCCUACUACUAAGCCACGUCUCCUGAUGGGCAGAGGCAGCUUGGAGACAGGCACUGCUGGACACACUCCGCAUGCUGAUGAGGUGUCGUGUGGAGAAGAGGAAGAGGAGGAG